rnacentral:lncRNA from 1 species
ACUCACACUGUACUUCCAGGGAGACACCGAUUAUGAGAAGAGAAACUCAGCGCUGGGGAAGAAGAGUACCUGAUAUAUUGCAAGUCUGUUUGUGCCUCAUAGCUGCACAGACUGCCUGAAGUUACGUUUCGAGACUGAAAUCACUGCACCUUAAAAACAAAGGAUUGAGCCGCACUGUGUUCCUGUAAGUAGAAGCUUCCCGAACCUUCCUCUGUGUUUCUGUGACCAACCCACAAAGGGACAAAACCUAUCAUAGUAACCAGACAUGAGG